UACGUAGGGUGCAAGCGUUGUCCGGAAUUAUUGGGCGUAAAGAGCUCGUAGGCGGUUCGUCGCGUCGGCUGUGAAAACCUGAGGCUCAACCUCAGGCCUGCAGUCGAUACGGGCGGACUUGAGUACUGCAGGGGAGACUGGAAGUUCCUGGUGUAGCGGUGAAAUGCGCAGAUAUCAGGAAGAACACCGGUGGCGAAGGCGGUGGCUGGGCCGGCACUGACGGCUGAGGAGCGAAAGCGUGGGGAGCGAACAGGA
rnacentral:rRNA from 1 species